GAUUUAAUUAUUCCCUCCGUUUCAUAAUAUAAGAUAUUUGACUUUUUUGCUUGUAACAUUUGAGCAUUCGUCUUAUUCAAAGAAUUAUGGAAAUAUCAUUUAUUUUGCUUGUGACUUACUCUAUUAUCAAAAUAACUUUAAACGUGACUUGUUAUUUUUUAUAUUUGUACUAAAUUUUUAAAUAAGACGAAUGGUCAAACGUUGUAAUAAAAAAGUCAAACAUCUGAAUCAGAGGCAGUAUUUUCUUAAGACCAAUCUGCAAUGGUUAUCAUCAACAUACUUGUCGUCGCAGCUGGAGUUGUCGCUGCAUGCAACAAUGCAAGAUAGGCAGCUGUCGCCGAUGUGGCAUUCUCGCCAAGGUGGAUCAACAAGACAACAACGUCGCAAAAUUUCUUAAUUAGAUGACAAGCUUUUGUAAAACAAAAUGCACCACGGAGUUUUGCUUCUUCGUCCUGCACAAAAUUCAAACCAAGUUGCUUGUCAAUUCAAAGUAUUGUUUCGAUCAAAAAUGCUAUAUAUUAUUUCAAAUAUGUUACUAACCAUAUGAUCAUUUUUUGGAGUCUCAAAAACUGGAUUUGAAAUGAUUACUUACUGAGAUCUGAUUCUGGUAGCAGAUGCAUUCCUGAUGCCUGUCAGUUCUAGUUACUAUAGAACAGUUACAUUGUCUAGCUUCAUGUGGUUUAAUUUUGCAUGGACAAAUAAUUUACAGAUUGUAAACCACAGAGCAGCAAAGCAAGUUCACAGUAGUUUUUUUUUUCUUAUUGCCCUGCU
rnacentral:lncRNA from 1 species